UUUAAUUAAAUUUUAAAGAAUUUUUGAAGGCUAAAUUAGCAACAACAAAAUGCUUGCAAAAGUGAGACCUUGAUGUUCAUUUGGUCACUUGUAUAUCCGUAAAUAAAAUUAUAAUGAAGUUCCCCUGUCAGUACUUGAAAAUAUAGACGUCGGCGGGGGUAGGGCGUGUUGCGUAACUGUCGGUCGGAAGAUCUCCCGGAUUUAGUUUCUUGGAACUUGGCAGGUAUGCGAUCCAGUCGAACUCAGUUGUAACGAACAGGCAUGUGCGCUAAGAAUAGUUCGACAUAUCAGGCUAUUCGAUUUACCCAAACUCACCAAUAGAGAACACAAAAUUUUGGGAAACAUUCCUUAUAUACAAAUUUGUUAUCUCCAGUGGAGAUGAUAAGCGAGGAAGGAAUUCAUUUGUUAAAAGCAAAGCUCUGCUUAGCAGGCAGUACUUUUUUCGUGUGUUUUUAAAGUGUACCUCAGUGUCACUAAGAAUGACGUUCUUGAUUAGCAGAAUUUUGUAGACCUGUUCUAGUCCACUUCCCUUAAUAUUCUUGUAGUAUUGGCGCAGUAAAUCCACUGCAAAAGUAAGUUCAGAAACUUAAGGCGAGGCGGCUCUUCACCUGGCAGUGAAUGCCCCCCCGAGUUCGAUACGUCCAAUGUCCAUUUCAUUGUGAGGGAGAUAUUUUGUAUCUGUCAGUAAGUUUCAUGCAUUUAAUGUAAUGAAUAAUUUGCUUUAUCCAGGUUUGUUAUACUGUAUUUGAGUUCGACUGUAUUUAGGCGGUGGCACUCUCAUCGCAUUACUCACUUGUUUUUACUUUUUUAGGGCUAAGUGUAAUGUUCUCCAGUCGUUUAUUUAACCAUAGUUUAGCCUGCAACUGCCUUUGUGGCUGUUGAUAUUAUCUCAAGCAGAUGGUACAAGAGUUGCAUAACAGUCGUAGCACACAUAAUGUGAUGAUUGUGCAUGUGGAAUGUGAAAUCCUUGGUACUUGUAGGUGAAACGUGAUGGGGGAGAGUGAUAAACUAUCUCAAUUUCGUUUGAGAGUUUCCUGAUACACUUUUUAAUAGUGUGUGCUGUUGUCUGCUGCAAGGUGGCUAACCUAAGCUUUUGUAAGUUUCUGUAUCAUAUUAGUUUUGAAACUGCAUUUAAGCCAGAGCUAUUCCCCGAUGUCGGUUUGUAAGGGUCAAUUGACUGACACAUCAACAGGGUGAGACAAAAGUAAAUUUUAUUUCGAUGUGGCUGUUGCAGACAUUGCCUAUUGUCUGCUGAAGAGAAAGUGCUUGAAGUGGCAAAUCUCACUCAUCAAAAACAUCUUGACUGGACAGGUUGAUUAUCUUGUUUCACUUAACUGUGCAUGCAUAGAGCUUUUAUUAUGUAUAUAUUUUGUUAUUGUUGUGGUGCUCGGUGAAGUGGUGCAGUUUUGCAGGAAUGGCAAUUUGAAGUUAGCUUUGUGCCCGAAUAUUGGCUAUAAUAUAAGUAUUUUCUUCACCUCUGAUGGCA
rnacentral:lncRNA from 1 species